AGGGUCAUUGGAAACUGGGGAACUUGAGUGCAGAAGAGGAGAGUGGAAUUCCACGUGUAGCGGUGAAAUGCAUAGAGAUGUGGAGGAACACCAGUGGCGAAGGCGACUCUCUGGUCUGUAACUGACGCUGAGGCGCGAAAGCGUGGGGAGCGAACAGGAUUAGAUACCCUGGUAGUCCACGCCGUAAACGAUGAGUGCUAAGUGUUAGAGGGUUUCCGCCCUUUAGUGCUGCAGCAAACGCAUUAAGCACUCCGCCUGGGGAGUACGGUCGCAAGACUGAAACUCAAAGGAAUUGACGGGGGCCCGCACAAGCGGUGGAGCAUGUGGUUUAAUUCGAAGCAACGCGAAGAACCUUACCAGGUCUUGACAUCCUCUGACAACCCUAGAGAUAGGGCUUCCCCUUCGGGGGCAGAGUGACAGGUGGUGCAUGGUUGUCGUCAGCUCGUGUCGUGAGAUGUUGGGUUAAGUCCCGCAACGAGCGCAACCCUUGAUCUUAGUUGCCAGCAUUCAGUUGGGCACUCUAAGGUGACUGCCGGUGACAAACCGGAGGAAGGUGGGGAUGACGUCAAAUCAUCAUGCCCCUUAUGACCUGGGCUACACACGUGCUACAAUGGGCAGAACAAAGGGCAGCGAAGCCGCGAGGCUAAGCCAAUCCCACAAAUCUGUUCUCAGUUCGGAUCGCAGUCUGCAACUCGACUGCGUGAAGCUGGAAU
rnacentral:rRNA from 2 species